ensembl:snoRNA SNORD115 Small nucleolar RNA SNORD115
GGGUCUAUGAUGACAAACCAAUGUCAUGAAGAGAGGUUAUGACAUAACAAUCAUGCUCAAUAGGAUUAUACUCUGGCCC